rnacentral:lncRNA from 1 species
AUUUAUAAUCAAAAGAAAGUAAGGGAUCCUUGAGGGACCCUGUAUCUGGUGGUGGCUCGUGGGUCACAGAGGUUUGGGGUCUGCAGCUCUGAUGUGAGAGGGGACAGAGCCCCUUUUGUGGCCAGCUCUGAGGCCCCUCAGUAAUGAGGAUGGCUAAUGAGCACAGCACAGCAAGCAGCUGGGGGAUGCACAGAGCUGGCUCUGCUCCUGCUGGGAGCUGAUCCUGCUCCAAACCAACCUGGAGGAGGAGAGAAAUGGGAGAAUCCCAGAAAUGUAGAGUGGUUUGGGCUGGAAGGGACCUUAAUGCUCAUCUCCUUCCUCACCCUGCCAUGGGCAGGGACACCUUCCAUUAGCCCAGGCUGCUCCAAGCCCUGUCCAGCCUGGCCUUGGGCACUGCCAGGGAUCCAGGGACAGCCACAGCUGCUCUGGGCACCCUGUGCCAGGGCCUGCCCACCCUCACAGUUCCUUCCUAAGGAUGAAGGGAUGGAGAAGGGAUGGAGAUGGAUGAAGGGCAGAGAAGGUGACAGAGGGUGCCAGUGCUCUCAGCUGGACAUGCCCCAUCUGCCUGGCCCAGCGAGGGCUGCAUUGCCUUGUGAGUGCUUCCCAAAUCAGUGGUCCAAGGAAAACCACAGCCUUUGGGAUGGAAGCCUGCCUGAUGUGUACAGGCAGGGUGCUGACCCUGUUUUUUGGGAGAGGCACCUCCUUUUCCUCCCUCCUGCAGCCCUGCCCUGCUCCUCUGCCCUGUCUCCGUCACAACACAGUGCCUGCCUGCCUGGGAAGGGAAGGCAGAUAUCAGCAACCCCGAAAUAUCCCCAGGACAGGCUCCUCUGUGAUGGGAGACAGUUGCCAUGGAAACCUCCUCCAAAGAAAAAAAAAAGGAAAAAAACCCGAAAUUUAAAGCAGCCCUUGUAGCUCAGAGGAACUGUAGACCUUAUUAUGGGUUUUGGCAACCCCCCUUUUUCUUUUAUUUGUUCCAGCUAAAAGCUCCAGGAGACAAGGCAAUUAAUUUGGCAUCCCAAAGGGAGUGAGAGAGCAAGGCUACCGUGCUGGGAGCAGUUUCCCUGGCUGGCAGGCACCAGGAGCUUCCUGUGCCCCCAAACACCCUCCUG